CACCGCGAUAAGGGGACCUCGAGUGCUGGGUUACAAACCUGGCUGUUGGGCUGCCUAAAAAGCAGUCUAUAGCAAGGGCCGGGCAAGACCGGUGCCAGCCGCCGCGGUAACACCGGCGGCUCGAGUGGUAACCGCUGUUAUUGGGUCUAAAGGGUCUGUAGCCUGCCGGCUAAGUCUCUUGGGAAAUCUGGCAUCUCAAGUGUCAGGCUGCCAGGGGAUACUGGUCAGCUUGGGACCGGGAGAGGUGAGAGGUACCUCAGGGGUAGGGGUGAAAUCUUGUAAUCCUUGAGGGACCACCAGUGGCGAAGGCGUCUCACCAGAACGGAUCCGACGGCAAGGGACGAAAGCUAGGGGCACGAACCGGAUUAGAUACCCGGGUAGUCC
rnacentral:rRNA from 1 species